GACAGAGGGUGCAAACGUUGUUCGGAUUUACUGGGCGUAAAGCGCGUGUAGGCGGCCUGCUAAGUCGAACGUGAAAUCCCCGGGCUCAACCCGGGAACUGCGUCCGAUACUGGUGGGCUUGAAUCCGGGAGAGGGAUGUAGAAUUCCAGGUGUAGCGGUGAAAUGCGUAGAUAUCUGGAGGAAUACCGGUGGCGAAGGCGGCAUCCUGGACCAUAACUGACGCUGAGGCGCGAAAGCGUGGGGAGCGAACAGG
rnacentral:rRNA from 1 species